GACGAACGCUGGCGGCGUGCCUAAUACAUGCAAGUAGAACGCUGAAGGAGGAGCUUGCUUCUCUGGAUGAGUUGCGAACGGGUGAGUAACGCGUAGGUAACCUGCCUGGUAGCGGGGGAUAACUAUUGGAAACGAUAGCUAAUACCGCAUAAGAGUAGAUGUUGCAUGACAUUUGCUUAAAAGGUGCAAUUGCAUCACUACCAGAUGGACCUGCGUUGUAUUAGCUAGUUGGUGGGGUAACGGCUCACCAAGGCGACGAUACAUAGCCGACCUGCGAGGGUGAGCGGCCAAACUGGGACGGAGGCACGGCCCAGACUCCUGCGGGAGGCAGCAGUAGGGGAUCUUCGGCAAAGGACGGAAGUCUGACCGAGCGACGCCGCGUGAGUGAAGAAGGUUGUCGGAUCGUAAAGCUCUGUUGUAAGAGAAGAACGAGUGUGAGAGUGGAAAGUUCACACUGUGACGGUACCUUACCAGAAAGGGACGGCUAACUACGUG
rnacentral:rRNA from 1 species